rnacentral:lncRNA from 1 species
AAUUCUUGGACAAAAGAGAAGCACACAAGUAGGGGGAGCAAGCUCAUGAACAUUGAUUGUUUGCAUUUGAUAUGUGCAUAUUCAUGUGCUUGCUUGCAUCGCAUAUGUUUUAAAUUCAAUAUGCAUGCUUGUGUGGUGUAUGCUAGUUAUAGAACUUGAUUGAUGAUAUGAUAACUAGCAUGCAUAGGUUGGUAGCUAGACUUGUGUUCUUCAUGUAAAGACUAGACCCUUGCUUAUAAUGUUGAUCUCACGGGGUUUCUACUGUUUUUGUUGUCUAGCUACUCAUGGUGCUAAGGAUGGUGUACAUUGAAUGCUUCAAAUGCUAUCGAACUUGGUAUCGAGCUACAAAGGUUUAUUCUAUACACCUUAGCACUUAAUAGGGUUUUAUGGUGCUUAUCCAAAUCUUGACAUAGAGCUUAAAUGUUGGAUAAGUAGCAUAAAAUCCAAAUCAAGUUAGCAGUUUACA